rnacentral:rRNA from 1 species
AACGUAGGACACAAGCGUUAUCCGGAGUUACUGGGCGUAAAGAGCUUGUAGGCGGACCUAUAAGUCUAUUCUGAAAGCUCCUGGCUAAACUGGGAGAGGCGAAUGGAGACUGUAGAUCUAGAGUGAGGAAGAGGAAAGUGGAAUUCCGCGUGUAGUGGUGAAAUGCGUAGAGAUGCGGAGGAACACCAGUGGCGAAAGCGACUUUCUGGUCCUUAACUGACGCUGAGGCGCGAAAGCAUGGGGAGCGAACGGG